GGGAGAUCCAGGGGAGGCCUUUAUCUGAAGAGCAGUUCGACCAUUAGCAAAGGAAACUUCCUUGUGCACCAGCAGCUCAGAUAACAAGCAAACCAGAAUCCUGGAUAUAAUUUGAUCUUCAUUAUGGAGAGGGCAGCGGAAUCAGAUAAUAGAAGUCCUGAAGAGUUUAAGUAACAGAGGAUCAACCUCGCGUUCCCCAUCCGGCCCUGCUCCCCAGCUGAGGUCACCUUACACUUCCUAGCUUGAGGCCUUUGCAGAAUCCAUACAAGCUGUGAAAUGAUUCCUUUCCAUGAAGCCCCGGAACAAAGCCGCUCGCUCUCCGCUUUCUGAAUCAUCAAAACUCAUUCAAGUUACAUAAACAAGCACAUGGACAAAGAAAACAGUUCAGUAGUUACCAGGGGAAGGGGAGUUGGGGGGGGGGGCACAGGAGGUGAAGGGGAGCACUCAUGUGAUGACAGACAAGAAAUAAUGUACAACUGAAAUUUCACAAUGAUGUAAACUACUAUGAACUCAAUAAAACAAAAACUCG
rnacentral:lncRNA from 1 species